GGCGAACGGGUGAGUAACACGUGAGUAACCUGCCCUUGACUCUGGGAUAAGCCUGGGAAACUGGGUCUAAUACCGGAUAUGACUCCUCAUCGCAUGGUGGGGGGUGGAAAGCUUUAUUGUGGUUUUGGAUGGACUCGCGGCCUAUCAGCUUGUUGGUGAGGUAAUGGCUUACCAAGGCGACGACGGGUAGCCGGCCUGAGAGGGUGACCGGCCACACUGGGACUGAGACACGGCCCAGACUCCUACGGGAGGCAGCAGUGGGGAAUAUUGCACAAUGGGCGAAAGCCUGAUGCAGCGACGCCGCGUGAGGGAUGACGGCCUUCGGGUUGUAAACCUCUUUCAGUAGGGAAGAAGCGAAAGUGACGGUACCUGCAGAAGAAGCGCCGGCUAACUACGUGCCAGCAGCCGCGGUAAUACGUAGGGCGCAAGCGUUAUCCGGAAUUAUUGGGCGUAAAGAGCUCGUAGGCGGUUUGUCGCGUCUGCCGUGAAAGUCCGGGGCUCAACUCCGGAUCUGCGGUGGGUACGGGCAGACUAGAGUGAUGUAGGGGAGACUGGAAUUCCUGGUGUAGCGGUGAAAUGCGCAGAUAUCAGGAGGAACACCGAUGGCGAAGGCAGGUCUCUGGGCAUUAACUGACGCUGAGGAGCGAAAGCAUGGGGAGCGAACAGGAUUAGAUACCCUGGUAGUCCAUGCCGUAAACGUUGGGCACUAGGUGUGGGGGACAUUCCACGUUUUCCGCGCCGUAGCUAACGCAUUAAGUGCCCCGCCUGGGGAGUACGGCCGCAAGGCUAAAACUCAAAGGAAUUGACGGGGGCCCGCACAAGCGGCGGAGCAUGCGGAUUAAUUCGAUGCAACGCGAAGAACCUUACCAAGGCUUGACAUGAACCGGUAACGUCUGGAAACAGGCGCCCCACUUGUGGUCGGUUUACAGGUGGUGCAUGGUUGUCGUCAGCUCGUGUCGUGAGAUGUUGGGUUAAGUCCCGCAACGAGCGCAACCCUCGUUCCAUGUUGCCAGCGCGUAAUGGCGGGGACUCAUGGGAGACUGCCGGGGUCAACUCGGAGGAAGGUGGGGACGACGUCAAAUCAUCAUGCCCCUUAUGUCUUGGGCUUCACGCAUGCUACAAUGGCCGGUACAAAGGGUUGCGAUACUGUGAGGUGGAGCUAAUCCCAAAAAGCCGGUCUCAGUUCGGAUUGGGGUCUGCAACUCGACCCCAUGAAGUCGGAGUCGCUAGUAAUCGCAGAUCAGCAACGCUGCGGUGAAUACGUUCCCGGGCCUUGUACACACCGCCCGUCAAGUCACGAAAGUUGGUAACACCC
rnacentral:rRNA from 1 species